rnacentral:rRNA from 1 species
GACGAACGCUGGCGGCGUGCUUAACACAUGCAAGUCGAACGGUGAAGCGCCUUCCUUUUUGGUGGGUGUGGAUGAGUGGCGAACGGGUGAGUAACACGUGAGUAACCUGCCCCCUUCUUCUGGAUAACCGCAUGAAAGUGUGGCUAAUACGGGAUAUUCUGGGUCUGUCGCAUGAUGGGUCUGGGAAAGAUAUUGUUUCGGUGGGGGAUGGGCUCGCGGCCUAUCAGCUUGUUGGUGGGGUGAUGGCCUACCAAGGCGGUGACGGGUAGCCGGCCUGAGAGGGUGGACGGUCACACUGGGACUGAGACACGGCCCAGACGCAUACGGGAGGCAGCAGUGGGGAAUAUUGCACAAUGGGCGAAAGCCUGAUGCAGCGACGCCGCGUGAGGGAUGGAGGCCUUCGGGUUGUGAACCUCGUUCGCCAGUGAAGCAGGCCUGCCUCGUUUGUGGGUGGGUUGACGGUAGCUGGAUAAGAAGCGCCGGCUAACUACGUG